UACGAAGGGGGCUAGCGUUGUUCGGAAUUACUGGGCGUAAAGGGCGCGUAGGCGGUGUGUCAAGUCAGGCGUGAAAGCCCCGGGCUCAACCUGGGAACCGCGCUUGAGACUGGCACGCUCGAGUUCGGGAGAGGAUGGUGGAAUUCCCAGUGUAGAGGUGAAAUUCGUAGAUAUUGGGAAGAACACCGAUGGCGAAGGCAGCCAUCUGGACCGACACUGACGCUGAGGCGCGAAAGCGUGGGGAGCAAACAGGAU
rnacentral:rRNA from 1 species